rnacentral:rRNA from 1 species
GGGACACGUGAAACCCUGUGGGAAGCAGGAGGGACCACCCUCCAAGGCUAAAUACUACCUAGUGACCGAUAGCGUAUAGUACCGUGAGGGAAAGGUGAAAAGAACCCCGGGAGGGGAGUGAAAUAGAACCUGAAACCCUGCACUUACAAGCUGUGGAAGCACAUUUCUUGUGUGACCGCGUACUUUUUGUAGAACGGGCCAACGAGUUACGUUAAGUAGCAAGGUUAAGCACUUAAGGUG